CCUACGGGAGGCAGCAGUGGGGGAUAUUGCACAAUGGGGGGAACCCUGAUGCAGCGACGCCGCGUGGGUGAAGGAGCGUUUCGGCGCGUAAAGCCCUAUCGGCAGGGAAGAAGGAGGACGGUACCUGACUAAGAAGCCCCGGCUAACUACGUGCCAGCAGCCGCGGUAACACGUAGGGGGCAAGCGUUAUCCGGAUUUACUGGGUGUAAAGGGGGCGCAGACGGCAGCGCAAGCCAGGAGUGAAAGCCCGGGGCCCAACCCCGGGACUGCUGUUGGAACUGGGCGGCUGGAGUGCAGGAGGAGCAGGCGGAAUGCGUGGUGUAGCGGUGAAAUGCGUAGAUAUCAGGAGGAACACCGAUGGCGAAGGCGGCCUGCUGGACUGCGACUGACGUUGAGGCCCGAAAGCGUGGGGAGCGAACAGGAUUAGAUACCCUUGUAGUC
rnacentral:rRNA from 1 species